ensembl:lncRNA
GCUGGGUGCACAGUGUGCAGCACCCGUGACUACUUUCUACUUGUUGAUGGCAACUUCAGAUUUUCUGGGAACACACUGAAAAGUAACUGAACACUAUGUUAAUCAGUAAGCACAAAUGUGAAUUAUAAUAAUGACAAGUUUUCCAUGUCUAUCAAGAAAAGCACCACCCAAAGGACAUCCAGCCAACGGGAGGCUAGUGGUUGAAAACAGGCCAUUGAUGAAAGAGGACAUAGGAGGCUGACACAAAUUGUGUAGAGCAACAGACGGGUUACAGUUAGCAACAUUUGAAUGCCACAGGAUAUCUGAACGUCCUUACCAAUCAGAUGUAUGCCUUCAUGGCAGCAGUGUAUCUAUAUGCAAAUGUUUUUUCUCAGCAGGAUAAUGCCCCAUGCCACAAGGCUAGGAUUGUCCAGGAAUGGUUUCACAAACAUGACAGUGAAUUCAGCUUACUGCCCAGUCAUCAGAUCUCAAUCUAGUUCAGCAUCUGUGGGAUGAUAUUCAGAGUAGAGAUCCACUACCAGCCAACUUGACACAACUGUGGGAAGCAUUGGAGUCAACAUGGGCCAUCAUCCCUGUGGAACGCCUUCAACACCUUGUAGAGUCCAUGCCCCAACGAUAUGAGGCUGUUCUGAGGGCAAAAGGGGUGCAGCUCAAUAUUAGGAAGGUGUUCCUAAUGUUUUUUAGACUCAAUCUAUAUCACCUAAUAACACUGCAACAAUCAUGUUAAAUAUACAAUGGCCAGUUAUUAUUUAAAAUAAUAGUGUGCGUAUGUGUGUGUGCCCGACACCUAUCCCACUGUGGCAUCCCACUUGACACAGACGUCUAUUCAACGUCUAGUUCACAUUGGUUUAAUGUAAUUUAAUUGAAAUGUUGAUUCAGCCAGUGUGUGCCCAGUGGGAUUAAAGGUUAUUUUAACAAAUGAUUCCAGAGGCCCUUUUCCCUCCCCUUACGAUCCAUGACCUCACUUCCUCCAAACGGUCACAGAAAAAUAUCCCAAAAAGGAAAAAUAUCCCAUAAAAGAAAAAUAUCCCAGAAUAACCAGGUUACAGAGGAACAAUAAAACACAAAUCACACAAUGAGUUCUCAGUUGAAGUCUAUCUUUCCAUCCGUCAAGGCAAAUAUCAGAUCAUUUCAUAACUUCCCCUUCAAAUUGUUUCAACUCAUGGUAGCCCCGCCAGUUAGAAUGACUCCAGAGAUUUCCUGUUCACAUACAACCUGUUUACUGGGGUCUUUUUCCACACUAGGUCAUCAUUGACUUUGGGAUUUCUAUCCCUUUCCAUUGACGCUGCUGCAUGCAUUCGAUGGAACACGAACAUUUGCUUUCUCAGCGAGGGAAACCUUUCCAUUGAAAUCUCAAAUCUGUAUUGCCUAUUCGUAUCAUAAUCACAUUAGGGGCUGUGUGAGCCUGGAAUAAGAGAGAAGUAAAAUCUUCACAGUGCCAAGUAGCAAAGUUGAGCUAAAGAAGCUGGAGUGUGGAAUCACACAAACUAAACCCCCUGAGGGACAGAGCGAGAUACUCACAGCAAGAGAGAGAGAGAGGGAGAGAGAGAGAGAGAGAGAGAGACAGAGAGAGAGAGCUGCUCGACUCUGCUCUGCACAGUGCUGUUGGGGUUGAUAAAGCAGUAGGACUGAUGCAGUGCCUUGACCUCCAGCUCCAUCUUCAGCACCAGUACAGAGAAAGAGACAGAGAGAUGCUAGCUGGUAUCUAGCUGCUAAAGCACCUGCAUCAAUGGAUGGGCUGACUGCACAGCCCUGACUCAUCUUCGGCUACAUGUCUAACCGAAGGAAGUCUUCGAUUCCCAUGAAGACACUAAUGGAGCGGAGCAGCGCUCGCUGCUGGGAAUGGCAAAUCUCCCACUGCAGCAGAAGUCUACACAGGAUCAGCUUGCUCCUAUCAGCCCUUCAGUGGAUCUGGAACUUUCGACUUCAAUGUAAACUCUACAAAAGCAGUGUUGUAAUCUACAACUAAUGAAAUGACGUGCUAUUAGUGAAUUAGCUACCUAAUUAACCAACUAACUUACCAGAUGUAUUUGAAAGAUAAUUCUCCAGACAUAAGUAACAACAGUUCACAGUUCACUGGACCCAAGUCAGAGAGUAGACUUUCAGUCUCUCAGAUAUGAUCCCUAGAGAUGCAACAGAGAGCCAAGAGUUCAAUGGCAACCACUGUUUUGAGUGAGGAGCAGAGGCCAGAAAGAGUGAGAGAGAGAGAGAGAGAGAGAGAGGGUAGAUACAAAGCGAGAGAGAGGGAGAAAAAAUGAAAAGAUUCCGAGGAGACGACUGAAGAUGAAAUGGGGAGAUAAAAGAGAAGUGAAUCAGAGAUGCAUUCAUUCAUUCAUCAAAUGUUAGGGACCCCCACCCACGGACCCUCCCACAGAAUAAAUGUUCUGUUCCAGGGAGGAAGCCUGAUGAUGAAUCCGGGAGGAGGAGAGCACAGCACAGCACAGAUAACUCAUAGCUGCUCUCUCUGCUCCUACACAGAACAAAAUCAAGAAUCUCCCGCGGAAACCCACUUUUUCGUGUUCUUAUCACCGAGAGCGCAAAGGGGAAAUGAUCUGAUAAGACUUUUGAAGUUAAACAGCGGUCUAUAGUACAACAUAAUGCUUAAUUAAAAUGAAAGUAGCAGCGUGGGAGAUGACACGCAGCAGGCUCUAAUAGACACCCGCAGGUUAAUUAAAACUAGUCAUGUCUACACGGUGCUUUGUGCUAGACUGUAUUAAUCAUAGAUGUGACUAGUAUCGCUACGAAGCCUAUCAAUCACAGCGGACUCUAUUAUGGUGUGUGCCGUUGACUUCGAGGAUCAUAAGACCAGCCAGUUUGACCUCACUGAUAAAACAUGAUUAGAAUGAAAGACGUGAUAGACUGUAUAUCUGAUGCCCCUAAGAGCAUUGUCAUACAUCAGAUAACUUUUGUCUGUACAUCGUCAGUCAAGGGACUAUAGCAUUGCGUAGGGCUAUUGCCACCUGUCGGAAGACAAUGCCUUAAGAUGGCAUUUACAUGACCAAACAGCUCACUAAUAGUCUACCAGGAUGGAAGAGGCAAAGCCUCCACUGCUCUUGGAAGAGUGAUCCACUAGAAGCAAUAGAUACUUCUCAAACUCAGGGCACUUCUGCUACACAAAUCCAGUUCACUGUAAGUAUCCCAGAAAAACAAAAUUGGUUCUGUGAAGUUCCUAGAAUAUUCGUUAGGUCUCAGCAAAUGUUCUCAUAACACGAAAAGUGUCCAGUUGUGCUGAUAAUUAUGGAAAGUUUGAACGUUCCCAGAACACAUUUUUUAAGGUUCCUAGAAUGUUUCUUUCGGUUCUGGGAACAUUGUGGAGAUAUGAGCGAUAGGUUCCCAAAACACUAAAACUGUCCAGUUGUGCUGACAUUCAGAUAAUGUUUCUAUCAGGGUGCAUAAAACAUUCCAUUGAUGUUGCAAUAAUGUUGACAGAAUAGCCUUUCUGAGUUCUUUAAAGGUCUCCAGGCCUCCAGUGCGCCUCCAGGGUCCAGUACUCCCUGUUCCUGCUCCUUGCACUCUCCCUGAGGUGCAUGUCCCCAGCCUGGUACCACCAGUGCCGGCACCACACACCAGGCCUACAGUGUGCAUCGCCAGUCCAGAGCGUCCGGCGACAGUACCCAGUCCAGAGCGUCCGGCGACAGUACCCAGUCCAGAGCGUCUCCAGGGACAAUCCCCAGCCCCGGGUCUCCAUCGAGGGUCCCCAGCCCGGGGUCUCCAGUGACGGUCCCCAGCCCGGGGUCUCCAGCGACCAUCCCCAGCCCCGGGUCUCCAUCGAGGGUCCCCACCCAUCAAUGUAAAGACGCCCUGACCUUAGUUAUCUUUGUUUUUCUUUAUUAUUUGGUUAGGUCAGGGUGUGACAAGGGUGGUGUGUUUAGUUAUUGUAUUGUCUAGGGGUUUAUGUAUGUCUAGGGGUUUCUAGUCUACGGGUUUAUAUCUCUAUGGUUGCCUAGAUUGGUUCUCAAUCAGAGGCAGCUGUUUAUCAUUGUCUCUGAUUGGGAACCAUAUUUAGGUAGCCAUAUUCCUUGGUUUAUCUGUGGGUUAUUGUCUAUGUGUAGUUGCCUGUGUCAGCACUCAGUGUAUAUAGCGUCCCGUUCGUGUUGUUAUUUUGUAAGUUCGUUUAGUGUUUCUUUGUUUUAUUAAAAGAAGAAUGUAUUCAAAUCAUGCUGCGCUUUGGUCUCCACUAUACGACGAAUGUGACAGCAACACUUCCUUUGGCCGCCUUUCCUUCCAGUUCUCUGCUGCCAAUGACUGGAACUAAUAGCAAAAAUCACUGAAGCUGGAGUCUUAUAUCUCCCUCUCUAACUUUAAGCAUCAGCUGUCAGAGCAGCUUACCGAUCACUGUACCUGUACACAGCCAAUCUGUAAAUAGCACAUCAACUACCUCAUCCCCAUAUUUUUUGUCAUCCUCUUUCUCUUUUGCACCCCAGUAUCUCCACUUGCUCAUCAUCAUCUGCACAUCUAUCUCUCCAGUGUUAAUGCUAAAUAGUAAUUAUUUCUCCUCAAUGGCCAAUUCGCACACACUAUACAUAGAUUUUUAUUUUGUGUUAUUGACUAUACGUUUGUUUAUGUGUAACUCUGUGUUGUUGUUUGUGUCACACUGCUUUGCUUUAUCUUGGCCAGGUCGCAGUUAUAAAUGAGAACUUGUUCUCAAUUGGCCAACCUGGUUAAAUAAAGGUGUUCUCAACUGGCCUACCUGGUUAAAUAAAGGUGAAAUAAAACAAUAUGUUGAUAAUCUGUACAUGUAGGGUUUGAACCUGCAAGGUUUGGUACCCAAGCCAAGUAAUUCAUUUUUAAACAAUACAAACAAACACAUACAAAGCACAACAUACAGAGGCACACAAACAUCCACAACAACACCCCUGCUCAGACUCACCUGCUCACACCCCCAUCUGCAGCGCCCCCACAUCGCUCUCUGCCACAUGCCCUCAACCUGUACCAUUUUGUUUCCCUCAGUCGCCCACGAAUUUACACCAUUUAGAUAAUAAAGCAUUUUACCUUUGUUUGGUUUGGUUGAUUUCCAGUUUUUAAUUAAGUAUAUGUUUAAAAAAAAAGAUGAUUGAUGAGAAAUUGUUGGCCAACCCAUUGCGUAUUUCACUGCCCCUCAUAUGCCGUGUCUUGAAAUAUGCAGACAUACGGAUUAAAAGUACAUUUACAUUGUAAUACUUCAAUCAGGAAUUGCAUGCUUCCUUUUAGCUUUCCAAGACAUAACAAACCCAGGGAUAUACUGGUAACAGGGUUCACUUCACCCAUUCUCUUGAUAGGCUGCAUACUUCUGGGCCCAUGUUUACAAGGUAUUCAAGACUAUGAGCCUGAUCUAGGUUCAAUUUUGCUUUUCAGAUCACAUCAAGUGUCUUAAUCUAGGAAUGAUAUAGGGUGUGCUUUUUAAAGUCAAACAGUACAUUUUUACACAAUGUUUUAUUUCUUUACAGUUUGUCUGAAUUCUGCAUUUCAGACUGCAUUUAGGGCUUGAUUCUAACAGAUCCGCUUUAGCCAACAUUCACAUAGAUGUGGUUUAGCCAACAUUCACAUAGAUGUGGUUUAGCC